GACGAACGCUGGCGGCGUGCCUAAUACAUGCAAGUAGAACGCACAGUUUAUACCGUAGCUUGCUACACCAUAGACUGUGGGUUGCGAACGGGUGAGUAACGCGUAGGUAACCUGCCUGGUAGCGGGGGAUAACUAUUGGAAACGAUAGCUAAUACCGCAUAAUAUUAAUUAUUGCAUGAUAAUUAAUUGAAAGGUGCAAUUGCACCACUACCAGAUGGACCUGCGUUGUAUUAGCUAGUAGGUGAGGUAACGGCUCACCUAGGCGACGAUACAUAGCCGACCUGAGAGGGUGAUCGGCCACACUGGGACUGAGACACGGCCCAGACUCCUACGGGAGGCAGCAGUAGGGAAGCUUCGGCAAUGGACGAAAGUCUGACCGAGCAACGCCGCGUGAGUGAAGAAGGUUUUCGGAUCGUAAAGCUCUGUUGUAAGAGAAGAACGGGUGUGAGAGUGGAAAGUUCACACUGUGACGGUAUCUUACCAGAAAGGGACGGCUAACUACGUG
rnacentral:rRNA from 1 species